GUGAAUUGCAGAAUUCAGUGAUCAUCGAAUCUUUGAACGCACCUUGCGCCCCUUGGUAUUCCGAGGGGCACACCCGUUUGAGUGUCGUGAAAUUCUCAAACCUUCUUGGUUUCUUGAUCAAGAUGGCUUUGGACUUUGGAGGCAUUUGCUGGCUUUGUGAAAAGCCAGCUCCUCUUGAAUGCAUUAGUGGGGUCCCCUUUGCCGAUCCCCAGGCGUGAUAAGAUGUUUCUACGCCUUGGGAUUUGCUCUGCUCCUUGGGAACCUGCUUCUAACCGUCUCAUGGAAGACAUUGUUCGAGCUUGCUCGACCCACGAACCUUGACCUCAAAUCGGGUGA
rnacentral:misc_RNA from 1 species